CAGCCGCCGCGGGAAUACGGAGGGUGCAAGCGUUAAUCGGAAUUACUGGGCGUAAAGCGCACGCAGGCGGUCUGUCAAGUCAGAUGUGAAAUCCCCGGGCUUAACCUGGGAACUGCAUUUGAAACUGGCAGGCUAGAGUCUUGUAGAGGGGGGUAGAAUUCCAGGUGUAGCGGUGAAAUGCGUAGAGAUCUGGAGGAAUACCGGUGGCGAAGGCGGCCCCCUGGACAAAGACUGACGCCCAGGUGCGAAAGCGUGGGGAGCAAACAGGAUUAGAUACCCCUGUAGUCCCUGUCUCUUAUAC
rnacentral:rRNA from 1 species